UACGUAGGUGGCGAGCGUUGUCCGGAAUUACUGGGUGUAAAGGGCGUGUAGGCGGGGAUUCAAGUCAGAUGUGAAAUUCCAUGGCUUAACUGUGGAGCUGCAUCUGAAACUGAAUUUCUUGAGUGCCGGAGAGGAAAGCGGAAUUCCCAGUGUAGCGGUGAAAUGCGUAGAUAUUGGGAGGAACACCAGUGGCGAAGGCGGCUUUCUGGACGGUAACUGACGCUGAGGCGCGAAAGCGUGGGGAGCAAACAGG
rnacentral:rRNA from 1 species